GGGACACGUGGUAUCCUGUCUGAAUAUGGGGGGACCAUCCUCCAAGGCUAAAUACUCCUGACUGACCGAUAGUGAACCAGUACCGUGAGGGAAAGGCGAAAAGAACCCCGGCGAGGGGAGUGAAAAAGAACCUGAAACCGUGUACGUACAAGCAGUGGGAGCCUCUUAAUGGGGUGACUGCGUACCUUUUGUAUAAUGGGUCAGCGACUUAUAUUCUGUAGCAAGGUUAACCGAAUAGGGGAGCCGAAGGGAAACCGAGUCUUAACUGGGCGUUAAGUUGCAGGGUAUAGACCCGAAACCCGGUGAUCUAGCCAUGGGCAGGUUGAAGGUUGGGUAACACUAACUGGAGGACCGAACCGACUAAUGUUGAAAAAUUAGCGGAUGACUUGUGGCUGGGGGUGAAAGGCCAAUCAAACCGGGAGAUAGCUGGUUCUCCCCGAAAGCUAUUUAGGUAGCGCCUCGUGAAUUCAUCUCCGGGGGUAGAGCACUGUUUCGGCAAGGGGGUCAUCCCGACUUACCAACCCGAUGCAAACUGCGAAUACCGGAGAAUGUUAUCACGGGAGACACACGGCGGGUGCUAACGUCCGUCGUGAAGAGGGAAACAACCCAGACCGCCAGCUAAGGUCCCAAAGUCAUGGUUAAGUGGGAAACGAUGUGGGAAGGCCCAGACAGCCAGGAUGUUGGCUUAGAAGCAGCCAUCAUUUAAAGAAAGCGUAAUAGCUCACUGGUCGAGUCGGCCUGCGCGGAAGAUGUAACGGGGCUAAACCAUGCACCGAAGCUGCGGCAGCGACACUAUGUGUUGUUGGGUAGGGGAGCGUUCUGUAAGCCUGUGAAGGUGGCCUGUGAGGGUUGCUGGAGGUAUCAGAAGUGCGAAUGCUGACAUAAGUAACGAUAAAGCGGGUGAAAAGCCCGCUCGCCGGAAGACCAAGGGUUCCUGUCCAACGUUAAUCGGGGCAGGGUGAGUCGACCCCUAAGGCGAGGCCGAAAGGCGUAGUCGAUGGGAAACAGGUUAAUAUUCCUGUACUUGGUGUUACUGCGAAGGGGGGACGGAGAAGGCUAUGUUGGCCGGGCGACGGUUGUCCCGGUUUAAGCGUGUAGGCUGGUUUUCCAGGCAAAUCCGGAAAAUCAAGGCUGAGGCGUGAUGACGAGGCACUACGGUGCUGAAGCGACAAAUGCCCUGCUUCCAGGAAAAGCCUCUAAGCAUCAGGUAACAUUAAAUCGUACCCCAAACCGACACAGGUGGUCAGGUAGAGAAUACCAAGGCGCUUGAGAGAACUCGGGUGAAGGAACUAGGCAAAAUGGUGCCGUAACUUCGGGAGAAGGCACGCUGAUAUGUAGGUGAAGCGACUUGCUCGUGGAGCUGAAAUCAGUCGAAGAUACCAGCUGGCUGCAACUGUUUAUUAAAAACACAGCACUGUGCAAACACGAAAGUGGACGUAUACGGUGUGACGCCUGCCCGGUGCCGGAAGGUUAAUUGAUGGGGUUAGCGGCAACGCGAAGCUCUUGAUCGAAGCCCCGGUAAACGGCGGCCGUAACUAUAACGGUCCUAAGGUAGCGAAAUUCCUUGUCGGGUAAGUUCCGACCUGCACGAAUGGCGUAAUGAUGGCCAGGCUGUCUCCACCCGAGACUCAGUGAAAUUGAACUCGCUGUGAAGAUGCAGUGUACCCGCGGCAAGACGGAAAGACCCCGUGAACCUUUACUAUAGCUUGACACUGAACAUUGAGCCUUGAUGUGUAGGAUAGGUGGGAGGCUUUGAAGUGUGGACGCCAGUCUGCAUGGAGCCGACCUUGAAAUACCACCCUUUAAUGUUUGAUGUUCUAACGUGGGCCCGUAAUCCGGGUUGCGGACAGUGUCUGGUGGGUAGUUUGACUGGGGCGGUCUCCUCCUAAAGAGUAACGGAGGAGCACGAAGGUUGGCUAAUCCUGGUCGGACAUCAGGAGGUUAGUGCAAUGGCAUAAGCCAGCUUGACUGCGAGCGUGACGGCGCGAGCAGGUGCGAAAGCAGGUCAUAGUGAUCCGGUGGUUCUGAAUGGAAGGGCCAUCGCUCAACGGAUAAAAGGUACUCCGGGGAUAACAGGCUGAUACCGCCCAAGAGUUCAUAUCGACGGCGGUGUUUGGCACCUCGAUGUCGGCUCAUCACAUCCUGGGGCUGAAGUAGGUCCCAAGGGUAUGGCUGUUCGCCAUUUAAAGUGGUACGCGAGCUGGGUUUAGAACGUCGUGAGACAGUUCGGUCCCUAUCUGCCGUGGGCGCUGGAGAACUGAGGGGGGCUGCUCCUAGUACGAGAGGACCGGAGUGGACGCAUCACUGGUGUUCGGGUUGUCAUGCCAAUGGCACUGCCCGGUAGCUAAAUGCGGAAGAGAUAAGUGCUGAAAGCAUCUAAGCACGAAACUUGCC
rnacentral:rRNA from 1 species